UACGGAGGGUGCGAGCGUUGUCCGGAAUCACUGGGCGUAAAGGGCGCGUAGGUGGCUUCUCAAGCGCGCGGUGAAAGCCCGGGGCUCAACCCCGGGUCGGCCGUGCGGACUGGGAGGCUCGAGCACUGUAGGGGCGGGUGGAAUUCCGGGUGUAGCGGUGGAAUGCGUAGAGAUCCGGAAGAACACCGGUGGCGAAGGCGGCCCGCUGGGCAGGAAGACGGGGCAACCCGUCGGCUGACACUGAGGCGCGACAGCGUGGGGAGCAAACAGG
rnacentral:rRNA from 1 species